GCCAGACUCCUACGGGAGGCAGCAGUCGGGAAUAUUGCGCAAUGGAGGAAACUCUGACGCAGUGACGCCGCGUAUAGGAAGAAGGUUUUCGGAUUGUAAACUAUUGUCGUUAGGGAAGAUAAAAGACAGUACCUAAGGAGGAAGCUCCGGCUAACUACGUGCCAGCAGCCGCGGUAAUACGUAGGGGGCAAGCGUUAUCCGGAUUUACUGGGUGUAAAGGGGGCGCAGACGGCAAUGCAAGCCAGGAGUGAAAGCCCGGGGCCCAACCCCGGGACUGCUCUUGGAACUGCAUGGCUGGAGUACAGGAGGGGCGGGCGGAAUUCCUAGUGUAGCGGUGAAAUGCGUAGAUAUUAGGAGGAACACCGGUGGCGAAGGCGGCCUGCUGGACUGUGACUGACGUUGAGGCCCGAAGGCGUGGGGAGCAAACAGGAUUAGAUACCCUUGUA
rnacentral:rRNA from 1 species